GGGGAGGUAGGGAAAAGGAAGGGGGAGGAGAAGGUGAGACCAGUGUCCUGGGUGCUACUCCUGCCCAGUGCCUCCCUUCCUCGUU
ensembl:miRNA